GAUGAACGCUGGCGGCGUGCCUAAUACAUGCAAGUCGAGCGAACGGACGAGAAGCUUGCUUUUCUGAUGUUAGCGGCGGACGGGUGAGUAACACGUGGAUAACCUACCUAUAAGACUGGGAUAACUUCGGGAAACCGGAGCUAAUACCGGAUAAUAUUUUGAACCGCAUGGUUCAAAAGUGAAAGACGGUCUUGCUGUCACUUAUAGAUGGAUCCGCGCUGCAUUAGCUAGUUGGUAAGGUAACGGCUUACCAAGGCAACGAUGCAUAGCCGACCUGAGAGGGUGAGCGGCCACACUGGAACUGAGACACGGUCCAGACUCCUACGGGAGGCAGCAGUAGGGAAUCUUCCGCAAUGGGCGAAAGCCUGACGGAGCAACGCCGCGUGAGUGAUGAAGGUCUUCGGAUCGUAAAACUCUGUUAUUAGGGAAGAACAUAUGUGUAAGUAACUGUGCACAUCUUGACGGUACCUAAUCAGAAAGCCACGGCGAAAUACGG
rnacentral:rRNA from 1 species